rnacentral:rRNA from 1 species
UACGUAGGGUGCAAGCGUUAAUCGGAAUUACUGGGCGUAAAGCGUGCGCAGGCGGUUUUGUAAGUCAGAUGUGAAAUCCCCGGGCUUAACCUGGGAACUGCGUUUGAAACUACAAGGCUAGAGUGUAGCAGAGGGGGGUGGAAUUCCACGUGUAGCAGUGAAAUGCGUAGAGAUGUGGAGGAACACCGAUGGCGAAGGCAGCCCCCUGGGUUAACACUGACGCUCAGGCACGAAAGCGUGGGGAGCAAACAGGAUUAGAU